rnacentral:rRNA from 1 species
CCUACCAUGCAGUCGAGCGGAACGAGUUAUCUGAGCCUUCGGGGGACGAUUGCGGCGUCGAGCGGCGGAGGGGUGAAUAAUGCCUAAGAAAUUGCCCUGAUGUGGGGGAUAACCAUUGGAAACGAUGGCUAAUACCGCAAGAUGCCUACGGGCCAAAGAGGGGGACCUUCGGGCCUCUCGCGUCAGGAUAUGCCUAGGUGGGAUUAGCUAGUUGGUGAGGUAAGGGCUCACCAAGGCGACGAUCCCUAGCUGGUCUGAGAGGAUGAUCACCCACACUGGAACUGAAACACGGUCCAAACUCCUACGGGAGGCAACAGUGGGGAAUAUUGCACAAUGGGCGCAAGCCUGAUGCAGCCAUGCCACGUGUAUGAAGAAGGCCUUCGGGUUGUAAAGUACUUUCAGUCGUGAGGAAGGUAGCGUCGUUAAUAGCUGCUUUGUUUGACGUUAGCGACAGAAAAAGCACCGGCUAACUC